UCAUAGUACAAUCACCUCUGCCCUUUAUUUAGCUAACUAAACACUUGAGACUAGACAAACCAUGUAGGCAGUCUGCAUUCCUCAUCAUUCUCCAAGCUACACAAGUUGUUUUCUUGUAUGUGUUCACUGUAAUUGUAGCCUUAAUCAUUUUGGAGACAUGAUAGAGAUGUACCCUGAGAGCUUGGGCCCUUUAGACUGUGGGUAGUCUGUCUCUUACUCAUUGAAGCACAUACACAAUAGUUGAUAUUGGAAAGGGGUAUUCAACUUCAAGUUAAAAACACCCAUUUAUCAAGUACUUUCUUUCUUUCUUUCACACUGAACUCUUCAUUUUUAUUCAUCCUUCCUUUCCAGCUUUCCACCUCAAACUUUGGUUCUUUAGUGGUUCAUGGAUAUUGGUAUCCUUGAAGCACAAACUUGGUGGGUGUAUUAUAAGAGCUGUGACUGAAAGCUGCAUGGCUAGAAGCCAAGGGCUUGUGAGAUUUUAUGGAUUAGUUUUUUUGCUUCUCCUCUUCCUCUUCCUCUUCCUCUUCCUAUCUGUGUUGCUUCAGCCUCAGCUCCUGCUCAAGGUGAAGAUCAACAGUAAGAUUGCUUCUUUAUCUAGUAGGCGAUUUCUAUCAGCCUCCUCGUCCAAUCAAUCCAUGAGGCUACAUGCAAAUAAUCACAACUCCUCUGAAUCCAACUUUGUUUCGAGCAAACAUGAAGUCCCCAGUGGCCCAAAUCCAGUCUCAAAUUAAUAGUUCUUGAUUGCUUGUAAUACUACUAUGGUCGAGAAUGAAGCUUUAGUUUGUAUGCGUGUUCAAGCAUUGGAAUAGACUUUUGGCUACUUCAUACAAAAUUUGAUGCAGUCCUGUAAGAAUUAACAUCUCACCUGCUUAGUUUCUUUGGGACUGUACUUGCUUUGUUCAUGGCCUUGGAAUUACCAGCAAUCCAGCUGUUUUUUUAAUGAGGUACCAGUGUUUAAUUCUUUAAUAAUUUGGAGAGGGCUGGCUCAUUUUGAUUGUAUAUCUGUAUCUGUUAUC